rnacentral:rRNA from 1 species
GAUGAACGCUGACAGAAUGCUUAACACAUGCAAGUCCACUUGAAUUUGGGUUUUUAACUUCGGUUUGGGUGGCGGACGGGUGAGUAACGCGUAAAGAACUUGCCUCACAGCUAGGGACAACAUUUGGAAACGAAUGCUAAUACCUAAUAUUAUGAUAAUAGGGCAUCCUAUAAUUAUGAAAGCUAUAAGCGCUGUGAGAGAGCUUUGCGUCCCAUUAGCUAGUUGGAGAGGUAACGGCUCACCAAGGCGAUGAUGGGUAGCCGGCCUGAGAGGGUGAUCGGCCACAAGGGGACUGAGACACGGCCCUUACUCCUACGGGAGGCAGCAGUGGGGAAUAUUGGACAAUGGACCGAGAGUCUGAUCCAGCAAUUCUGUGUGCACGAUGAAGUUUUUCGGAAUGUAAAGUGCUUUCAGUUGGGAAGAAACAAAUGACGGUACCAACAGAAGAAGUGACGGCUAAAUACGU